rnacentral:rRNA from 1 species
AACGAACGCUGGCGGCAUGCCUAACACAUGCAAGUCGAACGAGACCUUCGGGUCUUGUGGCGCACGGGUGCGUAACGCGUGGGAACCUGCCCUUAGGUUCGGAAUAACUCCCCGAAAGGGGUGCUAAUACCGGAUAAUGUCUUCGGACCAAAGAUUUAUCGCCUUUGGAUGGGCUCGCGUUGGAUUAGCUAGUUGGUAGGGUAAAAGCCUACCAAGGCGACGAUCCAUAGCUGGUCUGAGAGGAUGAUCAGCCACACUGGGACUGAGACACGGCCCAGACUCCUACGGGAGGCAGCAGUGGGGAAUAUUGGACAAUGGGGGAGAGACUGAGCCAGCAAUGCCGCGUGAGUGAUGAAGGCCUUAGGGUUGUAAAGCUCUUUUACCCGGGAUGAUAAUGACAGUACCGGGAGAAUAAGCUCCGGCUAACUCCGUG